GCAGUGAACGCUGAAUGAGGAGCUUGCUUCUCCGGAUGAGUUGCGAACGGGUGAGUAACGCGUAGGUAACCUGCCUGGUAGCGGGGGAUAACUAUUGGAAACGAUAGCUAAUACCGCAUAACAGUAGAUAUUGCAUGAUAUCUGCUUGAAGGGUGCAAUUGCAUCACUACCAGAUGGACCUGCGUUGUAUUAGCUAGUUGGUGAGGUAACGGCUCACCAAGGCAACGGUACAUAGCCGACCUGAGAGGGUGAUCGGCCACACUGGGACUGAGACACGGCCCAGACUCCUACGGGAGGCAGCAGUAGGGAAUCUUCGGCAAUGGACGGAAGUCUGACUGAGCAACGCCGCGUGAGUGAAGGAGGUUUUCGGAUCGUAAAGCUCUGUUGUAAGAGAAGAACGAGUGCGAGAGUGGAAAGUUUACACUGUGACGGUAUCUUACCAGAAAGGGACGGCUAACUACGUGC
rnacentral:rRNA from 1 species